CGGAGUAUAGCAUAUAUAAUGCUUUUUACUUACACUAAAAAUAAAGUUGAUACUUACGCCGC
rnacentral:tRNA from 1 species